GGGCGAUUAGCUCAGCGGUAGAGCGCAUCCUUCACACGGAUGAGGUCACUGGUUCGAGACCAGUAUCGCCCACCA
rnacentral:tRNA from 2 species